rnacentral:rRNA from 1 species
UGGUGGGUAGUUUGACUGGGGCGGUCUCCUCCUAAAGAGUAACGGAGGAGCACGAAGGUUGGCUAAUCCUGGUCGGACAUCAGGAGGUUAGUGCAAUGGCAUAAGCCAGCUUGACUGCGAGCGUGACGGCGCGAGCAGGUGCGAAAGCAGGUCAUAGUGAUCCGGUGGUUCUGAAUGGAAGGGCCAUCGCUCAACGGAUAAAAGGUACUCCGGGGAUAACAGGCUGAUACCGCCCAAGAGUUCAUAUCGACGGCGGUGUUUGGCACCUCGAUGUCGGCUCAUCACAUCCUGGGGCUGAAGUAGGUCCCAAGGGUAUGGCUGUUCGCCAUUUAAAGUGGUACGCGAGCUGGGUUUAGAACGUCGUGAGACAGUUCGGUCCCUAUCUGCCGUGGGCGCUGGAGAACUGAGGGGGGCUGCUCCUAGUACGAGAGGACCGGAGUGGACGCAUCACUGGUGUUCGGGUUGUCAUGCCAAUGGCACUGCCCGGUAGCUAAACGCGGAAGAGAU